UAUUGGAAUGAGGUAAAAGGGUAAAAGAUUGAAGUUCAUCUCUCUCACGCCGAUUUCUCUACAACCGCGAUAUCGCUUUUACGCUGCCGUCUUUGGAUUUGCGUCUUGCCUCUCAUGUCGGUCUUCAUCACCUUCGUCUCUAUCCUUUGUCUUUUAUAAAUUCAACCUAUCUCUCUCUUCUGAUAUUGAUUUGGAAAAAUGGCAAUGGACUUAAGUGGUAUGAUUUAGUCAAAUGGAAUAGACAAAAGGGGGGCUGGUGUUACUUUUGGAAUAUGGGCAAAAAAUCAAGUGUAAAGCUUAAGAAAAGGGAUUACGACAAUCUUUCUCUGCUUGCACAUUGAUAAUGUAGUAGAACUCAUGGAAGAACUUUGCCAUUUUGGAGUUGUUAAGACACAUGUAGUGAGGCCUAAAGGAAAAUGCCAAGCUACUAUAGUUUGGCUGGAUGGUCUUGGUGAUAAUGGUUUGAGCUCCUAGAAUCACUUUCUCUUUCAAAUGUAAUUUAUGCUCAUAGAAUCACUUUCAAAUAUUAGCUUUGGAAAUGGAAGAAGCAAGUUAGAUUAAGCAGAAAGAAAUGGUACUUGAUUCAGCUCUGUCGGAUGACCCAACUAAGUCCAAUGGUUGCAUAUAUGAAUCUUCAUUUUACAUCUUACAUCUGUUGAACUAAUGUAUAAAGCCUUUUUCUUUUCUUUUUUUCAUGUAUUAUUAUAGUUAGUAUCAAGCUACUCUGGUUGUGAAAGAGAUGUAAUAGCAGUAAUACUUGUUGUUACUAUUAGUAAUAUUUAAAUGAUAAGAUCUUUUC